UGAGAUUACAUCAGUUUCAUUUUCCACUUGGGCCUUUUUUUAAGCGUCCACAUUUGCCACCAAGAAACACACUCAUAACUGGGGGAAAGUUAAGUGCCGUAUAUUUUUGAAUCUCUUGGAGAGGUGAAGGGCCGUUAUUUCCUGCUGGGUACUGUCCUCCUUUUCUUGCUUCACAAACAAAACCCGGAUGUGACUUGGGAACGGAAAAAAAAAAAAAAAAAGAACAAAAAGUAAAACUUCUGUUGUUUCUCCAGGAAAGUGGGCUAGCGCAACCCCAACCCUUGGGCCCCCGCCCAGGCAGGUCCCCCGCGGGCGUGGCACGACCCCCGCAGGGAGAUCAAGCAGCGCGAAGCUUUUCAGCGUCCUGGAGCCGCCUCUCAAACCACUUCCAGCCGCUCCACUUCCAGAGCUGUCCCAGGGCCCGGUUCUGGGGCGAAAAUGCCGGCCCUUCACAUCGAAGAUUUGCCAGAAAAGGAAAAGCUGAAGAUGGAAGUUGAGCAACUUCGCAAGGAGGUGAAGUUGCAGAGACAACAGGUGUCUAAAUGUUCUGAAGAAAUAAAGAAUUACAUUGAAGAACGUUCUGGAGAGGAUCCUCUGGUGAAAGGAAUUCCAGAAGACAAGAAUCCCUUUAAAGAAAAAGGCAGCUGCGUUAUUUCAUAAAUAACUCUGGGGAGACGCUUCAUCCUCAGUGGAAGAACUAGCUUGUUUUAGUUUGCCAGAAUGAAACCGACAUGCCUUUUAAAGAGAAAAAAAAAAAAAGAAUGAAAUUUAAAGGAGACUUUCUUCAGCACUUAUAUAGAUAUGGUUCUGUAUACAAGCUAUGUGCUUCUCAUCUUUGCUCACUACACUCCCCUUUUAAGAGGGCAGAGAGUAUCAAAUGUGCAGUUAUGGAAAGAAGGACAUUACUUGUGCAUGACUCACCUCUUUCAGUAUAUUGCUUGAUGCCUCAAAUAAAGUUUUAUCUCUGAAAAAUGAGUGUUGAUGAUUUAAGACAGCAUUUAAUUUUUUUGGCCUUAAAUUUUAUAUUUUUCCCCAUAACCUUUCUGGUAUUUGGGACAUGUAUCAAAAGAUGAGGUGGUUUGAUAGAUCAGUUCCCCAAUCCAGCUCUCUCUGCUUCAAUUCUUAGGAGGUUUACAGUGCUGAGUUCUGACUUCUGGAAUGUGUCUGAUCUAACGUUAACUAUUAGGGAAUUGAGUGAAUAGAACUGAACGCUAACAGGAAUCAGAUUAUUUGAGUCAGGAACCAGGCCAAGCCAUGCCUACAUAAGCACUUCUGUGGUUUGUCAUCAUACAGAUCUUGUUCAAACUGUUGCCGCAACAGUGGCCUUAGGAUAGGGAGAGGGUUGGGGUCAAGAGGAGCACCCGGGCGCCAGCCCUGGAAUGUUCACCCUCAGGGAGCUGCACCUCCUACAGGCUCUGCAGGUCUUGGCAUGGCCACCCUCCAGCUCUGUGUCAUUGGAACAGAGACUUGGUUCUGCGUGGCUUGGGCCAAGCACUGCUCUUUUCCUUCUCCUCCAAAGGGACAAGUUAACCUUGUACCCAUUUCUAAAAUUAGCUUGCUUUUUUCUCAUUGAUUUGCAGGAGUUUUUAAUAUAUUCUGACCAUGCAUCCUUUGUCGGUGAUAGGUGUUGGAGGUGCCUUCUCCCAGUCCAUGGCUUAACGUUCCACAGCGGGACCAUCGCUGCAGCGAUUUUAGCCCGCAGAUGCAGCACACCAGAGUACAUGGGCUGCUCAAGUCCUUCAUGAAGACACCCGUAGCCGGACCUUAAAGAAAGGGACCUUUCUUCCUCUCUUUGAGCAUUCUUCCUCCCUCUCCCUCUGUCUUUUGGAUGCAAGUUUCACCAGGUUUGAGCCAAAAACAAGACAAGGAAAACCCUUACAGGUUAGCUCCAGCUCAAGUGGGCUCAGUUACUAACUCCUCCUGCAAUUUUACAUAUGACACCAGAAACCCAGGUUUCUGCUUGACGAGGUCUUUUCUCCAGCCUAGAUGCAUAGGUGUGCUUCAUCAAGCCAGAGAGGUGCCUGUGACUCCAGCAGCUUCCUCAAGUCUAUCAGCACCUUCACUAGGAACUACUUUCCCUUCCCUCUCCAAGAAGGAACGGGAUACCCCAGGCUUUUGAAAGAGCAGGUUACGGCAAACCAAGAGCUGGGAAUAUUUCCUUCAGUUUCUUGCCUUUUUUCCAAGUGUUGAAGUCAAUUGGGAUUACUGAGAGCCCAGGGAUAAUUUUACUCCAAAGGAGGAUUUACUCCAAGGUGAGGUUUAAGAACAGCAAAGGUAUUAUUUUUUGCCAGCAGCCAUAGAACAAUUAGUAUUUGGGUUAUGUUGCUAUUAUUUCAUUUAACAUUUAAAGUGGCAUGGGAUUUUAGUACCUUGGUGCUUGUAAAGUUUUACUUUAAUGAACUGUUUCAUUUAAGUCAUAAAGUUUUCUUCUGUUGCAUAAAAAAGCAAACAUCUAUUCUGCUUAUUGGUAAGACAGAUCAAAUCACCUGCUUCCUUCAUGAAAGGCCAACUCAAUGCAUUUAUCCACUAACUUCUUGAAGUUGGGGAUUACAAGGCUGUAUCCUGAAUUUCUAUCAGCCGCAUUCAGCUGCCCAUUCACAUGCAUCUGCAAGUCCUAGCUUCUGCUCUUCCUGUACCUUCAACCAUAUGACAAAUUAGUCAGCCUACUUCUGUUUUUUCACUAAUAAAUAUCCAAUCUUGUAGAUGUUUCUACCAAAUCUAAUCUGUUCUAUUUUCCUUACUGUUUCAUCAUCGUAACUCAGCAAAUCUAUAAGAAGUGUAAUAAAAUACUCUUGAUUUUCAAGUGUUGAACUUAUUAGCUUGCGUUAGGAAGAAAAUGAAAAUAUGGUAACUAUGUAUUUAGAUAUAUUAUAUAAGUAACCUUUAGUAAGUGGGAAUUUGUUAAGUAGAAUUCAAAUCAUGUGUUCAACUUCUUUCAGUAUAUAAUUGUGUAAUCAUUUGAUAUCUGAUUGAUUAAAUACUUAUUAUGCUUUGUGUAUUGAGACUUACGUUCUAUAAACCCACAUUAAAUUAGCAAAAUAGGCUUUCCUAAUUCUAGGCAGAAUCUACAUUACAAGCUCACCCCUACUUGGUAUUUUAAGACAGGUUAUUCUGUAUCUUGGAUGCAAACUGGUAUCUCAUUACUGUCUAAAUUUGCAUUUUCUUGAUUUCCUAUGACUUCUACUGUCAGAUUUUUGUGUACCUUUUGAUUACCUUCACCCAUUUCAACCACGCCCCCCACCCCCUACCAAUGGCAAUCACCACUCUGUCCUCUGUAUCUAUGAACUUGGUUUUCUUUUUUUAGAUUCCACAUAAAAGUGAGAUAAUAUGGUAUUUGUCUUUGUCUGACUUAUUUCACUUAGCACAACGCCCUCAAGAUCCAUCCAUGUUGCUGCAAUGGCAAGAUUUCCUUCUUUUGUUAUGGCUGAAUAAUAUUCUCACAUUUUCUUUAUCCGUUCAUCCAUCAGUGGACAUUUAGGUUGUUUGGCUAUUGUAAAUAAUGCUGCAGUGAACAUGGGGGUACAGAUACCUUUUCGAAUUAGUAUUUUUGUUUUCUUUGAGUAAAUACCCAGAAAUGGAAUUGCUGGAUCAUAUGGUACUUAUAUUUUUAAUUUUUUGAGGAACCUUCAUAUUGUUUUCCAUAGGGGCUGUACCAAUUUACAAUCUCACCAACAGUGCACAAGGGUCCCCUUUUCUCCAAAUCCUUGCAAACACUUGUUAUUCUUGUCUUUUUGAUAAUAGCCAUUCUAACAGGUGUGAGGUGAUAUCUCACUGUGGUUUUGAUUUGCAUUUCCCUGAGGUUUGGUCAUGUUGACCACCUUUUCAUGUACCUAUUUGCAUCUACUUUUACUUGUUUAAAGAAACAUUGAAAGGUUAUACAGGAAAUUACUAAAAAUUGCUACCUAUGAGGACCAGUGGUGAGUAUAACCAGGUGGGAAAAGAUGAGAUUGAGACUUCUCAUUGCAUAUUUUUCUGUAAAGUUUUGAUUUGGGGACCCUGUGAAUAUAUUAUCUAGUUUAAAAAGUCUAAUUUAAAAAUAAAAAAUAGAAGCAAAAUUCAUAUUGCUGUGUUUAGGCCUUGGAGAGUAAGUGUAUUUUGGUAUUAAUGUUCUACGAAUGAGAAAUAAUUUUGUAUAGUCAACGUGAUCUAAUAGUAUAUUUUGAUCUAUUAAGUUUAUCCCACCAAGUAUAACAAAGAUAUUGAGUCAAUAAUAGUUAUAUUCCACUCUUAUCCCCUUUAACUGAGUCUUUGAAGGAUGAUAAUCAAUGAGAAAUAAGCUGCUGUUUCUAACAUAACAGCCUAUGAGAGCAGGGACUAACAACCUAUUUUUGAUUUAAUAG
ensembl:lncRNA